GCACAGCAUCAGCCUGUGUAAACACAUCAAGACGACAUUUCUGUAAGGAGCUUCACUCCGAAAUCCAUCCGCGAGCAGCAUCCCGUUGACUUGGAGGCAUAUGAACUGAUUUGGGCAUCGUCCCGCAUAAAACGCAUUAGGAGUGGUUAACACCCGUGUAAAAUGCAUCAGAGUCUUUAGGUAAUCACAUGGCCACAUCAUCAUACAAUUUAUUUCAUAUCUUUAUUGUUAAUCAAUGUGAUGCUCAUACGAUAUGCAACGACCUUUGUCAUAUGCCAUCAUGUCAUACGUGUGCCUCAUAUUAUUUCACAUAAAUGCACCAUUCAAUUCACAAGUCCAAUGGCAUAUAGGGCAUUCAUUAAAGCAUAAUAAAGUCAUCAUAAUAUGUCAAAAUCAUUUAUCACGUGUCAUUAUAAACCAUCAAAUAACUCAUCUUUUAAUUAAUAUAACAUACCAUAGUGCCAUAAUGUAUUUUAGUAACAUGCUUAGUCACAACAUCACUUCAUAUAACAUACAUCACUACAUACUAGUAUAUCAUCAUAUUAUGGCAUAUUAUAACAACAUAUCAUACUUCAUUUAACAUGACCUGAUAUCGUCCUAAACAUGAUUACUUAUUAGUAAAAACUUAACCUGUCAUCCAAAAUUUGAUAACUUAUUAUUUAAGCUCGAUAACCUAUCGUCAUACACAUGAUAGCUUAUCGUCAAAUUCUUGAUAGCUAAUCAUCUAGAGCUCAAUAACUUAUCGCUCUAAACUCGAUAACUUAUCCUUUAAAGCUCGAUAACCUAUCACCUAAAUCUCGAUAACUUAUCAAGACCACUUAUCGAAAUGCAAUGAUCACUUAUCACAUGACACUUACUUAUCACAUUAAUAAAACACCAUUUAGCCAUAUUCAAGCCCUAAAUUACUUUCUAAGUGCAACAAUAACCCUGAUCAAGGGCUAGAAAGCCACUCACACCCAAAUCCUAACUUCAACAAGCACUGAGGGAGGAGUGGCAAGAUCGGACAACGGCUGUGGGCUGCUGUUCACGCUUGUACAGCACACGUAGGAGGCCGGACGGUGGCUAGACGGCGGUAUGCCGAUCAACAAGUGGCAAGUCGGCGGCGGCACGGCCUCCAGGCCUCACUAGGGACCAAACCGUGGAGGAAACAAGGGAGAGAGUGUUGCUGUGAGCAUUGGAAAGCGGCCUCCUCAGCUUCAAAGCUUGGCUACAGCAAUGGAAACGGAGUGCGGAGGGGCGGUUUGGCGUUAGGGUGUGAAGGACGGUUAUCGGUGAGGGGAAAACAAGAGGAAAAUGCGAGAAAAAGCUUGAAAUGGAGAUGAAAAUGGAGACGGUGGUUUCGACUAAGGCUAAGAAGAGAG
rnacentral:lncRNA from 1 species